UGGGGAAUAUUGCACAAUGGGGGAAACCCUGAUGCAGCGACGCCGCGUGAACGAAGAAGGUAUUCGUAUCGUAAAGUUCUGUCCUAUGGGAAGAUAAUGACAGUACCAUAGAAGAAAGCUCCGGCUAAAUACGUGCCAGCAGCCGCGGUAAUACGUAUGGAGCGAGCGUUGUCCGGAAUUAUUGGGCGUAAAGGGUACGCAGGCGGUUUAAUAAGUCGAAUGUUAAAGAUCGGGGCUCAACCCCGCAAAGCAUUGGAAACUGAUAAACUUGAGUAGUGGAGAGGAAAGUGGAAUUCCGAGUGUAGUGGUGAAAUACGUAGAUAUUAGGAGGAAUACCAGUAGCGAAGGCGACUUUCUGGACACAAACUGACGCUGAGGUACGAAAGCGUGGGGAGCAAACAGG
rnacentral:rRNA from 1 species